GCCAGAGGGUGCACGCGUUAUUCGGAAUUAUUGGGCGUAAAGAGCGCGUAGGCGGUUUGAUAAGCCUGGUGUGAAAUCCCUGGGCUCAAUUCAGGAAGCGCAUUGGAUACUGUCAGACUCGAGUACAGGAGAGGUGAGCGGAAUUCCCGGUGUAGAGGUGAAAUUCGUAGAUAUCGGGAGGAACAACAGUGGCGAAGGCGGCUCACUGGACUGUAACUGACGCUGAGGCGCGAAAGCGUGGUGAGCAAACAGG
rnacentral:rRNA from 1 species